rnacentral:miRNA from 1 species
GAGGAAAUGCAGAUGCUGGA